CUAACAAGGAUUCCCCUAGUAACUGCGAGUGAAGAGGGAAGAGCUCAAAUUUGAAAUCUGGCAGUGUUUUGCUGUCCGAGUUGUAAUCUAGAGAAGUGCUGCCCGUGCUGGACCAUGUACAAGUCUCCUGGAAUGGAGCGUCACAGAGGGUGAGAAUCCCGUCUUUGACAUGGACUGCCAGUGCAUUUGUGGUGUGCUCUCAAAGAGUCGAGUUGUUUGGGAAUGCAGCUCUAAAUGGGUGGUAAACUCCAUCUAAAGCUAAAUAUUGGCGAGAGACCGAUAGCGAACAAGUACCGUGAGGGAAAGAUGAAAAGAACUUUGGAAAGAGAGUUAAACAGUAUGUGAAAUUGUUGAAAGGGAAACGCUUAAAGUCAGUCGUGUCGGCCAGGGAUCAACUCAGUAUUAUCUGCUGGGUGUACUUCCUGAUCUGAUGGGCCAACAUCAGUUUUGACUGCUGGAGAAGGAUAGAGGGAAUGUGGCACCUUUGGGUGUGUUAUAGCUCUCUGUCGGAUGCAGUGGUUGGGACUGAGGAAUGCAGCAUGCCGCAAGGCCGGGUCGUUUCGACCACGUUCAUGCUGAGGAUGUUGGCAUAAUGGCUUUAAUCGACCCGUCUUGAAACACGGACCAAGGAGUCUAACAUGCCUGCGAGUGUUUGGGUGGCAAACCCGAGUGCGGAAUGAAAGUGAAAGGUUGAGAUCCCUGUCAUGGGGAGCAUCGACGCCCGGACCUGAGCUCAAUGCAAAGGAUCUGCGGUAGAGCAUGUAUGUUAGGACCCGAAAGAUGGUGAACUAUGCCUGAAUAGGGUGAAGCCAGAGGAAACUCUGGUGGAGGCUCGUAGCGAUUCUGACGUGCAAAUCGAUCGUCG
rnacentral:rRNA from 1 species